CAGGGAGAAAAGUAUAUCAAUGUAUCCAAGAUAUGAUGCAAUAGUCAAAAUUUCCUGAUUAAAUGCAACUAAUAUGAGAAGACUGCUGUGUUUGAAACCAAAGAAAAAUAAUAAAGUGAAAUGAGAUGAAGGAACAAUGGGGAUGUACUACAUCGGGACAAAAUAAUUAAUGAAUAUUAAUUAUUAGAAUAUUUCAAUCAUAUAAAAAUAUGUAAUUGUCAUUAUUUCUAUAUUUCACAUAUUUUUUAAGUGUUCUAGUGAGCUAAGGACUUUUGAAUAAACGCUGUAAGUUGA